rnacentral:lncRNA from 1 species
CCAGUCCUUAAAACCCAGCUUUUAGUUCUUUUGAUUUUAUUUUUAGCUAUUUCAUUAUUUUUCCCAGUCAUGUUCAUAACAAAAUUCCAUUUUUUUCUUAAGCUAAGAAUAGUGAUGUUUCAUUACUCUCAACCAGACAUGACUGGAACAAGGUAGGAUGUAAUUAUAGCUAAUGAGUACUGUACAGUUUUGAGAAAUGGCUUAUAGAGAGCAAGUCAUAGAAAGAAAUUCUGAGAGACCCUCAGAGAUCUUUAAGACCAAUGCCUUCUUAGUUAUAGAUGAGUAAAUUGGUCUUAGAGAGGGUGUGUUAGCUUAUGAUUUCAAGAAUCCAGCUGGCUAUUUCAGGCAGAUCUUAGACAAUACUAAUAUCUAGGGUGAAAAUACAAGGUUUGGAGGAGAAAAAUGAACUACAAGUCCAUCCAUGGUCCAGAGUACAAGAAAUUCUGGGAGCUGUUUCUUAUUAAGCAAAUGCAGAAGAUGGAGUUCACAAACCAAAAAUAUCUAUAUAUUAAUUUAGAAUGGGGGAUGAACAUUGAUCAUGGGAUAUGCUGGCCAUCUAAGAAGGCAUCAACUGCCUCUGUAUUCAUCAGUUGUUAUAUAUUAAAAUAUUACCUAAUUCUUCAUCUAAGAUGGCUUUCAAUUGCCUCUGUAUUCAUCAGUUAUUAUAUAUAAAAAUGUUACCUAAUUCUUUAGACAGUGUUUUUAAGCAAACAUACCAGGGGGCAAAAAGCACACCCAGCCCCAAGACUUUGGUUUCUACAUAGUAUUCUCUACUAACCAUAUCAGAUAUGGCUGAUUUUGGAGUUGAGGCAGAGAAAUUCAAGAUAAGCCUAGAGUAUCUUAUAAUUUCAGAAAGAAAAGAAGUGCUCAAAAACAAAAAGAUGAGAGUAAUUGUCAAAGGGACAUGAGAAGCCAACAUGAAAGACCCCAAUAACCAAUUCAAUAACAACAAUGAAAUCUAAGGAACAAAAUGAAUAAUGCAGGAUAGGGUUAUAAACCAAAGUAUGAAGUAAAGGUACAUGACUCCAUAUAGAUGUGAAUAAAUAAGUAAACAGGAAGAAGAGACAGUUCUUGAAGAAUAUAUCCAAAUAAUUUAUGGAGGUUCUUUCUCCUACAGGUAGGGAACUCAAUUUCCAUCCCACCCCUUACAUUUGAGGAUGGGCUAGACUUAAUCACCUGGUUCCAGAAUGUAGAGCAGGGAAUGGGAAGAAUAGUGACAUUUUAGUGCAGAAACCUGGAAAUGCUACCUUAACCAAAUGAUAAAGUUAACACUCUUAGUGAUUUCAUGUGACUGUUAAAACCCAACAUGAUGUAGCAAGUAUAGUGUGUUACCUAGCUGGAUUUUUUUAAUGUUUAUUUUUGGCUUUUUAGGGCCGCACCUGGGGCAUAUGGAAUUCCUAGGCUAGGGGUCGAAUUUGAGCUACAGCUGCUGGCCUACACCACAGACACAGCAACACGGGAUCCAAGCUCAUGGCAAUGCUGAAUCCUUAACCCACUGAGAGAGGCCAGGGAUCAAACCUCCUCCUCAUGGAUACUAGUCAGGUUUGUUACCACUGAGCCACAACAGGAUCUCCCAAGUUUGCAUUUAUUUAAAAAAUAUAACUCCAGUCUAAUCAUGAGAAAAAGAUAAAACAACCUCAGAUUGGAAGACAUUGUAUAGGAUACAAGUCCAGCAUUCCUCAAAAAGCUCAUGAGAAAAAAAAAAAAAAAAAAAAAAAGACUGAGAAAUAUUCAUAGGCCAGAGAGACUGGGGAGACUUGACGCCUAAAUCCUAGUAAAAUCCAAAUAAAGUCUGGAGUUCAGUUAAGAAGUAAAUGGUCAUGUACAAAUGUCAGUGUCUUGGUUUUGACACAUGUAGUAUACUGACGUAAAAUGUCAACCGUUGGGGAACCUGGCUGAGGGGUACACAGGAACUCUCUGUAUGACUCUGCAAAUUUUCUGUAAACCUAAAAUUAUUCCAAAACAAAAUUCAUUAAAACAGUUAAAGCAUGUUUAAUAUUCUUAACAAAUAUUUUAAUUAAUGUAUAAACUGUUCUUUUUAACUCUAGGAAUACUUUUGUGCAAUGUGAUUGUGUUUGGAUUAAACUACUUGGAAAAUGCAUCAAUACAUUCUUCUCCUUAAUUUCUUCUUUUUUUCUGGCACCACACAGAAGAGUGCACUCUCUCCUGUCACCCCUCAUUGUGGUCACAAUUCAACAGUAUGAUCUGAAAUUAGCAGAAAGAGACAAAGGAAGCUUUGGCAUUUCUACUUUCAUAAACACUAGCAGAUGGAGAGUCAGGAGGUCUUCCUGGCCCCAGUCAGUGGGUGGUUUCAGAGUUUGCUUCCCAGCAUGGUCUUAUUUGAAUAAUGGUGGCAAAUUACAUAUGACUUUAUUAAGCACCUUUCACUUUUCUGAAGAAAACUGAUUUUCAUUAAAUGUAAUAUAAUAAUAGUUAUAUUCAUAGUGACACCAACCAUUCAUCAUAAGAACCAUAUUCUUUUUUUUUUUCCCGUUACUACAGAAAUCACCUUAGAUGAUGUGCUGAGCCUGUUGCAGAGUUCAAAUGCAACAUAAAUUAUCUCCAUUAUGACUUUCUCCAACUUGAGUACAAAGUAAAAAUAAAAUCCUAGAACUCAAAGGCUCAAAUAACUGUCUAAAAGAAAUUCAGAGUAAAAACAUUAACAAGAAAUUUUCCUAUGAAGAAUUUAUAGUUAAAAAAAAGGGAAGAGUUGUUUCUGAUGUUAUGUGUGAACCUAUGAACUGAGCAGAUUUAUGAGAUGAAGAGAUUCAAGAUACGAUUUUUAUAAAAAUCCAAGUAAUAUUAAUAGAACUAGUAAUUGUAGUCAAGUCUUGGUAGUAAGAUCAUAACAAAAUUUAUUCAGUAUUCUUAACUCUCAAAAAUUAGACUGCUGUUGCUUUAUUUAUCUUUAUGAUGCUCUGCAGAGAGUUUUACUCUGAAGAACCUAAAAUAUGUUAUAUUAAGUGAUGACUGAGAUUUGAGUUAUUAGAAUUAUUUGUGCACCAUGUUGUUUAAACUGAUGCUACUAUGAAAAAUUAAUAAAACACGUAAGCAAAAAUAAAUUGGGUUUGUAAAUAUUUUCUUCAACUGCUUUGUAUACAUUCUUACUUUUUCAGUAGUAAAUAAGUAGGGCUUUUGUAAUCAAAAUUAGUAAAAAAUAUUAAUUUUAAAAAUUAAUUUUUAAAAUUUAAUACACAAAAUUGAAUAAGACUUCCAUCAGUUGGAGUUCCCGUUGUAGCUCAGCAGGUUACAAUCUGACUAGUAUCCAUGAGGAUGCAGGUUCAAUCCCUGCCUUUACUCAGUGGGAUAAGGAUCCAGUGUUGCUGUGAACUUUGGUGCAGGUUACAGAUGCAGCUUGAAUCCCAUGUUGCUGUGGCUGCUGUGUAGGUGCAGCUGCAGCCCCAAUUAGAUCUCUAGCCCUGGAAUUUCCAUCAGUGAUUAAAUAGUGAUAAACAGAAAUAUUGCUCAUUCAUGAUCCCACUUAGGUAGAGGUCAGAGGAACUGGGGAACUCCAAGAUUAAUCCAAAACUCCAAACAUAUUUGGAAAAAAAGAUGUACUUAAAUGAGAAUGCAAUAUAACUAUCUUAUAUCCUUUUAUUCUGUUAUUUUUCUGGAGCCAGAUUUGUUGCUAGAGCCUUUCGUUUCCAACAAACUUUCACAGUUGCUGAUAAAAGAGCAAUCAAGCAAGGAAAAUUUUUGUCCAGCAAACACAGGAAAUUCAAUAUUUGAAUAUCCCACCAUGACCUCCAAAUUGCAUAAAUUAGAACUCAUCAUUUACUAAAUUUCUUCAAAUGCUACAAACCUAUAAAUGAUACUGCCAUUAUUCUGUUGUUCAAAUAUAAUUUAUUAUUACUUGACUAUUCUUCCAUUUUUCUCAAUCUUUUUAAAAAAUUAAUCACCAAAGCUGCCUACUUGCUUUUGAGAUAUAUUUUUGAAUCACAACUUCUUUGCCAGUCUGCCCACAACCAGAAAUUAAACUUCUAAUAUCUGGACCGUUAGUUGAUCUUCCUCCUCUCAAUCUGUCUACUGAGAUUGUCUAUUUAGACAAUUGAAACUGUCAUCCAGUAAUAUUCCCUAUUGUACACUGUGCUAGGACCAACAGGCCUCUGCCAGGAUUUCAAGAUAAUCACAGCUGCCCUUUAUUUAUCUGCUUAAUUUACUUUCCAUCCAAUCAGGUUGUUUUUCUCUGUCUCCUGAACAUAUCACACUUUUUCUAGUUCUCACCAAUUGCUCGAGUCCAUCUAGAAACUUUUCUUAACUGUCCUCUAUCCAAAUGCUCAUAUUAAGCUUUCAUCCCUUCAGUCUACUCACUGAGUUGUCUUUGACACAUUACACAUAUAAUCAGCACAACACAAUUUACCAUUACUUAAUGACUGCCUUUUAUGUGCUAUUAAAGUUUUAUCCUUGAAUGGAUUAUGAAUACUUGGGUACUUGAGACCUUUGUCUUAUAUCCUGCUGUCUCUCUCACAAUGCUAGUAUAGUGCUAAGAUCAAUAAAUAUUUGGCUUGAGCACAAAAGCUAUUUUAGUGCCUCAGGGAGUUUUAUUAUUUAUGAGUGAUAGGAGACGUGGUUUCCUUCAAAUUCUCAUUUCAGAUGCAGUCAGGAAAAUGGGGAAGAUGAAGAUAAAAAAAUCGGUGCUAGUGUGAGUAAUUCUCCUUCCAGGUCAGCCUAUCAAAAUAAGGACCUUGGUGUAUUGUGCAGGAUGCAAGCAAGUAUGAAGAAACAAAAAGCUCUUUGUUAUUUACCCAGAUCCUACCAGUGAGUUCAAGCAAACAACCUAGCCAGCAUUUGGCUAGUACCUCCUUUUCAUAGGCAACAUUCUUAUUUUAUACAGUAGUUAGAGAAAAUAUGAUUAUAAUAUGAUGAGAUUAAAUGAGAAUUUCCCCCUUCUGCUCUCAGAAAUUGCCUCAAAGCAACAGAAAUAAGAAGAAAAUAUGCAAAACCCACAAACAUAUUCAACCCGACAAGGGGAUUUCUGAAACUCUAAAUUACAAAAUGGCUGCCUAAGUUGAUAAAGAAAAGAAACACUGGUGUGGGAAGAUGUUAAAACAGGGUGCCUACUGCUGUAGGUAUCGGUUUUAAAAAGCCCCUUAGCACAUAUGCUGUCUAAAAAUGUAUAUCUAGAGUAUAAAUCCAAUACUUGGAAGAGUAUCUGUGCUUCAGUUGAUUUCAAGGAAAAGCUAAGAAAAUGAGACUCAACAAUGAAACACACAUUAUAGCCAUAAAUACAGGAAACAAUCUGUAUUGAAGCUAGUGAGGAUCAGAGGGAUUGAAUUCUGAGUAACCACACAGUGGUCAAUCUCAGUUAAUGGGCUCAAGGAGAAUGGAAGCUCAUAAGGGGAUUCAUUUGCAUCAACAACCCCAGGGUAGUAGAAAAAUAUCUGCUUGCCUUGUAAUAUGGUCAGGGUAUUGUCUGUAUGAAAUUUUGCAAAUAUGUGCUCCAGCAGAAAAACCCUGACAUUAGCUGGAAUAAAGUGAAUAAAGAGCCAACACAAAAACAAC